AUUUUAUUGAAACGGAAUAUAUACAUUAUUUAGGUCAAAAGAGUAGAGCAAAGUUAGAGUGUCACGGACGGAUAUACCUUAAACCAAGAACUGUCAGGAAUUGAUCAGGCCAUCCCAUUGUUUAGGCCAAAAUAGCCAAACGGAGAAGAAAAAAAAAAAAAAAAAAAACUCUUUCUGAUUGCCUGCUUAUGGCUUCAUAAUUGAAAUCCCUUUGUCGGUUAUAUCCCAAUUAAAUGGUUUAGCAAAUACACAAAUAUGUUUGCUAUCCUGCUUUUCUGAAUCUAAUCCUACUCUGGCACUAACAAAACAUUUCACUUUAGAUCAUUAACUUUAUGAAAAAAAGAAUCAUACCCUGCACUAAGUCAUAUGAUUGCGAUGACAAUGAAUACACAGCACAUCAAAGGCGCAUGGUUACGCAGAACUGACGCCAAUAACAGAUUGGCACAAACUUUACACAUUGAGAAACAACUUGUUGCAACACAAUCUAAUCGCAUACAUGAUGAGAUAUUGAAUACUUUAUGAUGUCACGUCUCUUUAUCCUGCAUGUUCUGUUCUUUGGUGUCGGUUUUGAAAUCAGGAAGACAAACAGUAGUAGCUUCCUAGACAGCAAUCUUAUAUUUAGGAUUUUGCAGACUUUAGGGCUAAGUUGUACAAUAAAUGUUUAACCGCAAAAAUAACGGCACCUGGGACCUCCUGGGAGAAUGUUAAAGGGGCACACUUGGCACCAUAACCACUGUUGGUGGCAGUCAUCCUAUUUAAGAACCAAGGCUAUAUAUACACACCAUAUUUUUAUAAACACAAAUACAAUCAGUGGGUGUUUAUAUUAAUGAAAUGUGCUACACAU